rnacentral:rRNA from 1 species
GAUGAACGCUGGCGGCGUGCUUAACACAUGCAAGUCGAACGGAAAGGCCCAAGCUUGCUUGGGUACUCGAGUGGCGAACGGGUGAGUAACACGUGGGUGAUCUGCCCUGCACUUCGGGAUAAGCCUGGGAAACUGGGUCUAAUACCGGAUAGGACCACAUUUUGGAUGGUGUGGUGGAAAGUUUUUCGGUGUGGGAUGAGCUCGCGGCCUAUCAGCUUGUUGGUGGGGUAAUGGCCUGCCAAGGCGUCGACGGGUAGCCGGCCUGAGAGGGUGUACGGCCACAUUGGGACUGAGAUACGGCCCAGACUCCUACGGGAGGCAGCAGUGGGGAAUAUUGCACAAUGGGCGCAAGCCUGAUGCAGCGACGCCGCGUGGGGGAUGACGGCCUUCGGGUUGUAAACUCCUUUCGCUAGGGACGAAGCGUUAUGUGACGGUACCUGGAGAAGAAGCACCGGCUAACUACGUG